rnacentral:lncRNA from 1 species
GUCAACAUACAAUUAGUCAUAAACAUGACUUUACUCUUAUUACUUAAUUAAUCUUGAAUUUUAUUUCAAUAUUUUAUUACUUAUUAUGUUUGAUUUUAAUGUUAACAUACAUAUAAUGCUUUAUCUCAUUUAAUUAAUUUGUCUAAUGAAGCAAUUUAGUAGCUAGUUUUAUUAAGUUUUACAACAUAAAUAUACUAACAUGCAUAAUCAUGUUUUACUUUCCUUAUUAGGACAUUUACUUAAGUUUAGCUUAUUAUGAACAUAUGACUUGCUACUUAUUAACAUAUAAUUUAUGUUUAGCAUGCAAUAUUACAUGAUUUCAAAUAUAAGAAUGAUUAACUAACAAGAAUACGACAAGUUGUAAAUUACCUCUUGAAGUUGCAAGCUUUAGAUUAUCUUGAAUAAGCAAGACUUGAUUUUCUACCUCUCAAAUUUAUGUGAUCUUACUAUGCUCUCUCCUAGAAUUACUUUGGAAUUUAAUGAAGAUUAUUAGCAUAGCUUAAGGGGUUUAUUUAUAAGCAUCCAAGACUUAUGAUAUAAUGGUCAUCACACCACAACCAAUCAAAGUGGUCAACAAGGCCACCAAGCCAUGGUUCACAUAAAGCCACCAACACAUAACAACUCCACUUACAAUUGACCAAUAAGGCCAUGUCCUAUCACUUGUGUCUUGCAACAAAUGUGUUGUAAGGCAAGAGGCCACAUCUCACCUCUUCAAGCUUGACAACACCACAAGCAAACCCUUAGGCCACAUCUCUCCAUCAUAUGCUUGACAACACAUUAAAGCAAGCAAAAGUCAAAUUGAUGACUAACUUCAUAAGGCAAGAAUACUUCCAUACACCAUAUGUAAGUAUUUCAUAAUUCCUAAAUGGCCAAAAAUACCCCUACUUUCUCUACAACAUAAUCGAAUCCUAUUUAGCUUGGUUACUCCAACUAGUUAGUUAACAAUAAUCGUUGACUUUGACUUUUUCGUAUUACUAUCGUAUUAUUCUCGUAUUUUUUAAUAGUGAUUUCCUAGUUAGUUGUACAAAAAAUUUAUAUACUUGUACUUAUAAUGAAACCACACACAUUCAAUCACAUAACCAUAGUUAUCAAGGCGCCAAGUCGAGACAAGGCGACAGCCGGGAGCUCAAACGCUUAGUCAACAAAGCGCCCGACUAGUCGUCCACAAGUCAACAAGUCGUUAACAAUGUAAAUUUUGUACGUAUAAAAUUAUAUAUAUUUAACAUUUAUAUGAAUAUUUAAAUAUUUAUAUUUCUAAUGAUUUAUCAUAUUCAAAAUGCAGGUUAUAGCAUAUCAAAUCACAAGAAGAAGUGGACAAGAUCAAGUCAAAAUGAUAAUUUUACUAUAGUUGUAAUUUUUUGAACUUGUACCAACUUCAAAUUAUAUAAAUGGUGAUACAUUUGUAAUAUUUAGUUUAAUUCAAUAUAAUUCUUAAAUUUAUGUUUAGUUUCUUAAGUUUUAAGAUUGUAUAUACAGAAUAAUUUUAAAUUAUUAUGAUAAAACAAGUAAACAAGCAUUGUUAAGAUAAAAUUAUAAACAUUCAUAUAAUCAUAUCAUAACAUUAGACAACCCUUAAUAAGAUAAAGACAUGUUCACUGUGACAUUUCCAAAAAUAAACAUAAUAUAGAAAUAAAAAUAAAGUCAUACAAAUCUUCAACUCAAAAGUCUCAUUUUUCAGAAUGAAAAGAUCACUUAAACUAUUAAGCAAAAUCAUCUUCUCUCCCAACAAGGGUAUCAUCACUCGAAACAGUAGUUACUCUUCUACCAUAAUCAUCAUUCAUAUCCUCAUCAUCAUUAGGAAGGCCUUCCUCCUCUUCUCCAACAUCAGAAUUAUAGUCAUUCAAAGCUCUUAUCCUCGGUUCCCUCAAAGUCGAAACACCACCACGUUGUGAGUAGACAUGACACGUUCUACAAAGAUUGUGACCCUCAACGGCAUUGGAUGCAUCAGCAGCUCUUUCAACAUUCUCCAAUGUAAGAUCAUCCCCAUGAUGAACUACAUCUUGCUCAGACACUAUCCAGUCAUUACCCCAAUCAAAAUCUUCUAGGACUAAUGGAUCAAAGUUUCUUCCAAGUUCGCGCCUCUUUUGAAAACUAUCAACAAUUCGGCGAUUGUAUUGCACAUACACCGAAUCAUUUAACCGUUGAUGCUCCAACCUAUUUCUCUUCUUCGUAUGAAUCUGAAAUUUUUGUUUAAACAAAUAUUAAGCAAAAGAAUAUAUAAAAUAUUUAUAGAUUUAGUUAUGUACUAAUUAAUAUUAAAUACAACAUAUUUAAUUACUAAAUACUUACAAACUCAAAAGUGCUCCAAUUGUGUUCACAAUCGGAAGAACAACAAAGGCCGAGGAUUCGCUUUGUAAACUUUGUAAGCUCAAUAGCACAACCGCCAAAAGCAUUCCACCAAUUAACAACAUUAGAUGUAAAAAAUUAAAAAAAUUAAAUAUAGUCGUCUAAAUUAUAAAAUUUAAGCAAACUUUAUAAUUAAUUUAAUAUACUCACUAGGAUUUUUUGUCAUUCGUUGCCUAAUCGACAUGUCUGUAGAAAAGUCGUCAUGAGAAGAUUCAUAGACAUCAACUAGGUCACUUAUCAUGUCUGCCAAAGCUUGGUUGGGAACCAUUUUUGCAAGAAUAUCGUUGAAGUUGUUACGUUGUAAACUAAAACAGAUUCUUCAUCUUCUUUCAUGUCAAAAUACUUUCCCGGAUUUAAAAACAAUGCUGGCCCAUAUAACUUUUGCUCUAUUUGGCAUGCCCAUCUCCGUUCAAUAAUGUUGAUCACUUUCUUAUAUAGCCUUUGUUAUUAAAGGCAUCUUUGAUCUUCUUCUUUGCAAAUUUCAUCGCAACAAGAAUCUCAGGCAUAGUUUGCCUCUCAUCCGAAUCCACAAUCCUCAAGACAACAAGUAAUGGUUGUGACGCUCUAAUACAAUCUUCAACGACAUGCCAAAAACUAAACGAAAUAAUUGUAUCAUACACUUUCUUCUCUGCCUCUGUAGUCGACAACUUAGAAUGUGUUCAAUCAUCAUUGAAUAACUGUCUCAAAGCAUCCUUGUGCUUGCACAAGCUUUGAAGGAUCAGAAAAGAUGUAGCAAAUCAGGUGACUCUCGAUCUCACAAGGUCCCUCCCAUUCGUUUUGCUCCUCAUCGCAUCAAGAAGGUGAUCAUGUCAUAAAAAUGAAUGUUUUUAUUUUUCUUGCCCUCCCGAUUGUAGACUUAAACUGCUUCAAAUUGCCUAUGUCCUCUAGCAUAAGGUCUAGGCAAUGGGCUGCACAUGGUGUCCAGAAUAAAGUACGUCUCCUCUGCAUUAAAAUCUGACCAAUUGCCUUAUAUUUGGAGGCAUUGUCUGUCACUACUUGCACAACAUACUCAGAUCAAUCUCUUUGAUCUUCCCAUCAAGCAACUCAGCCAACAUGCUUUCAUCCUGAAAUUGACUAGAAACAUCAACUAAUUCCAUAAAGUAAGUCCUGCAGGACUAUUAGCAAAAAAAAUUAUCAAGUGUUUGCCUCUUCUGUCUAUUCAUCCGUCUGAUAUAAGAGUGCAACCGUAUUGCUUCCAAGAAGUUGUGUUUCUCCUUCAGUUCCUCUGUUUUAGUCUUUGCCUUCGCUAAAAGAGGAACUCUCAACUCGUGAUACGAAGGAGGCUUCAAACCCGGUCUAUAUUGCCCGAUAACCUCUAUCAUCACCUCAAAACUUCUUGAAUUUGCUGCAUUAAAAGGGAUGUCAUUCUAAUAAAAUCAGUUGACAAUGUACAUGUGUACUUUGUCUUUCUCUUCCGAUGACCUUAGACGAUUCUCCAAAGUUGUUUUAGUAGGACCUUUGCGAUGCCUUUUGUCUGCAACUUCUUCAGGAGAUUUCCUAAGAUGAGUUUCAAUUGUCUUUGGUUGUGACUGUGGCUUAAGGAAUUGAUAUACACUUUUCAUCCUUUUAGAUGCAGUCCCAGAACUUGAAAAGCUGCAUUAGAAGGAUUGGAAGGAAUAUUAAAUGACUGAAUUUCUUCUACUUCGUCACUGUCAUCAAAUUGAAUUGGCUUAUUCCUUUUGUUACUCAUUAUAGCUUGAUGCAUCUCGUUCGCAAUUUCUGUUGUAUUUCGAGGACAUUUAGACACAUCACCGUUCCCACCGGUAAGAUGUUUGAAUCUUUUGAUUCCUCUUUGAACCUUUUUUCCACAGAGUAUGCAUUGAACGAGAUUUUUAUCGUUCAAGUAUGGCCAAAAUGUAUAUUUCCACCUCGGAUCCUUAGACUUGGCAUUUCUUUUAGGAUCCUGGAUCAUAACUCUCUACUCCAGAACUUUUCACCAUUUAACUAUCUACAAAAUACAAUUACACAAACAAACAAGAUAUUGUAAUUUGUAAAUUGUAAUAAUAAAACAAGUAAACAUAGAUGGCUAAUGUAAUUUUUUUUACUUACUAAUUACAUUAUUAUAAUUUUAGUAAAUAAGUUAUCAAGUAUAUACUAUUAUAAUGUAUACAUAUGUAGUUUAGGUCAGGAAAUGCUUUAAAUGCAAAUAUCCAUCAUAUUUAAGAACUAAGAUACUACAAAAAUAAACAAUAAACAGAGCUAAUGCAGUCAGAGGCUCAGAGCAUAUAAACAAUAAAUAGGCAGCCACACAAGCAAUAAACAACAGAGCAAAUUCAAAGCAGAGCCAAAGCAUAGCCAGAGCAGAGCCUCCGAUAAAUAAUCACUUUCCAUUGGAAAUGAUUUAUUGAACCACAAGUUUACAACUUUUCAGCCCACCUCUUUUUAAACAAUGUAAUACUCCUGUUUCUUGUGAUUAACAUUGUGUUAUGACCAAUUCAGAAGGAAAAUAAAAAUUAAAAUACAUAUCAUAAAGCACAUCACAUACAUAUUUAUUUUACUCGGUGCAUAUCACAAAGCACAGCACAUACCAUGCUAUAAACUCACCCCUUUUCGUAAAAUUCACUCUCUUUAUACCACAAAACAUAAAAUAUCCAAUUUAUAAUACAUAAUUAUACCCCUUCCUUUUUGGGUUUUCAACUAUGCAGAGUAGAAGAACUGAAGAAGAAGAUUAGAAGAAGAGAAAAACCAAAAAAAAAACAGAAGAAGAGAAGAACAGCAGAAGCAGAGAAGAAGAGAAGCAUACCUGUAAGUCGUCGAAGUUCCGAAGUGAGUCGCCGGAGAAGAAGAUCGACUGGGACUGCUCUUGCCUCUUUUCGUUUCUCCCUCUCUGAUGAACUGAAGUUCCAAAGUUGUGAGGGAUCGAUUAGGUUAAGUCGAACUUUAGGCUUUUUUUUAUCCAAUUCAAUUUCGGGUCUACGGCAAGUCGACCGCUUAUCAAUAUAGUCGUCCAAGUCGCUCGCCAGUCGUCCAAGUCGGUUGCUGAGCGCUCGACUAUCUGCUCUCUCACCAAAUCGCCCUGCCGCCUUGGAAUUUUUUACCGACUUGACGCCUAGUCGUCGCCUCACCUUUCAUUAAAUACAUAGCAAAGACCGUCUUUUGGUCUUUGCCGACUCUAGCUAUGACGAAAGCUUUCUCAAUCUCUUUUAUCCACCCUCGAGCCUCUAUUGGCUCGGUGGUUCCCUUAAAUUCGGAAGGUCCUACACUCUUAAAGUCUUUGAAAGACGUAUUCUCUCUUUAUCAUCUAAAUCUUUGAGAUUUGGAACCUAGGUGCUUUAUUAUAGAAGCGUCUUAACUAUAAAUGUUUGAAUUGAAAAUAUUUUACUAUGUAUCCUAUUUCAUCUUCUUUUCCUUUUAGACAUUGUAAAAAUUUGUUGGUGCUUUCAUACCAUGUAAUAAUCUUAUUAGGUGGAUGAGGCAGCCUUUGAGACAGAUGAAGAGAGAGCUUUAUGGAGCACGUUCUUGUCAUUAAGAAGCAAAAUUCAUCCAGGCAACUUAUCUUCUCUGACAAGUUUCAGGUCUAAGUGCCCAAUUCAUAAUGUGGGUGCAAGAGCAAGAACAUGGAAUGUUGAUCUUAAAUACAGUAAGGAUUCAGAUCACCUAAAUUUGUAUAUAAUUAUAUGUAAACUUAAACAUUGUAUAUUAGUUUUGAAAAAUCUUGUGUUAACAUGGCAGGUAAUUUUUUUUAAUCUGUGAAUUAUAUAAGAAUUGUUAGGGAAAAUAAUAAUGCACUGAAAACAAUAGCAAAUAGAAAUUGAUUGACAAACAAUCACAGAAGACACAAAUUUAAAUUCAUCCAAAGGGAUUACUCCACAGUCCGCGACAGAUCAAUUUACAAUCUCAGAAAAUCUUAGUGUAAGAUUCCCUCCUUAUUCCACUCCAAACCUACCCCUCUCUGCUCUAGGAACAUACCCAUUCACCUUUUUUGGGUAGCUUUACAAUCAGCUCUAGCUCUGAAUUAAAGUUGGAUCAGGCUUCACCAAGUAACAAGAAUAACCCAAGUAAGCAAGUAGCUGCUAAUUCAUUAAUUUAACUAGUUAAGUAAGCUGAUUCGACUACACAUCGAUACAUCUAAUUUGCCUUAAAGAGUGCAUCUGCUACCUUACUACCUUAAAGUGGUGUUGGU